rnacentral:rRNA from 1 species
ACGCUGGCGGCGUGCCUAAUACAUGCAAGUAGAACGCUGAAGCUUGGUGCUUGCACCGAGCGGAUGAGUUGCGAACGGGUGAGUAACGCGUAGGUAACCUACCUCUUAGCGGGGGAUAACUAUUGGAAACGAUAGCUAAUACCGCAUAAAAGUCGACAUUGCAUGAUGUUGACUUGAAAGGUGCAACUGCAUCACUAAGAGAUGGACCUGCGUUGUAUUAGCUAGUUGGUGAGGUAACGGCUCACCAAGGCGACGAUACAUAGCCGACCUGAGAGGGUGAUCGGCCACACUGGGACUGAGACACGGCCCAGACUCCUACGGGAGGCAGCAGUAGGGAAUCUUCGGCAAUGGACGGAAGUCUGACCGAGCAACGCCGCGUGAGUGAAGAAGGUUUUCGGAUCGUAAAGCUCUGUUGUAAGAGAAGAACGAGUGUGAGAGUGGAAAGUUCACACUGUGACGGUAACUUACCAGAAAGGGACGGCUAACUACGUGCCAGCAGCCGCGGUAAUACGUAGGUCCCGAGCGUUAUCCGGAUUUAUUGGGCGUAAAGCGAGCGCAGGCGGUUAGAUAAGUCUGAAGUUAAAGGCUGUGGCUUAACCAUAGUACGCUUUGGAAACUGUUUAACUUGAGUGCAGAAGGGGAGAGUGGAAUUCCAUGUGUAGCGGUGAAAUGCGUAGAUAUAUGGAGGAACACCGGUGGCGAAAGCGGCUCUCUGGUCUGUAACUGACGCUGAGGCUCGAAAGCGUGGGGAGCAAACAGGAUUAGAUACCCUGGUAGUCCACGCCGUAAACGAUGAGUGCUAGGUGUUGGGUCCUUUCCGGGACUCAGUGCCGUAGCUAACGCAUUAAGCACUCCGCCUGGGGAGUACGACCGCAAGGUUGAAACUCAAAGGAAUUG